rnacentral:lncRNA from 1 species
CAAGGUCGUCAAUAAAUGUUGGUUUCUCUCCUAUUCACUCGCUGUGUAAUUAUGUAUUACUUUGUGGUGUUGCUUUUGUUUGUAAUAUUUACAAUUUUAAAAAAUUAAAGAAACACAUACACACAUACACAUGGUAAGCAAACAGUAUAAGGUGGUGUAGAAUUAAAAAUGUCUUUCUGAACCCACCGACCAGACCCUCUCUCCAGAGGUGAACAUCUGCAACAAUUUUUUUUUUUUUUUUUUUUUUUUGAGACCAGGUCUUGCUAUGUUGCCCAGGUUGGAGUGCAGUGGCUGUUCACAGGUGUCAUCUUGCUAUUAAUCAGCACGGGAAUUUAAGCCUGGUUCAUUUCUGACCUGGGUGGGUUCAUCCCUCCUUAGGCAACCUGGUGGUCCCCUGCUCCUGUGAGGUCACCAUAAUGUUGCUGAACUUAGUGUGGACCCUCUACUGGCAUAGCGUACUAGAGCCCAGAACUCCUGGACUCAAGCAACCUCAGCCUCUUGAGUAGCUGGGACCACAGGCAAGUGCCAUCAUGUCGGCUGGCAGCAACAAUUUUUGUGUAUCAUUCAGAAAAUUUUCAUCCAGACACCUGUAUAUCCCAUAGACAUUUUUAUGCAAAUAGGAGCAAACUAUAUAGACCUUAGCUUGCACCUUGCUUUUUUUGUUCAAUGACACAUCUUGGAAAUAUUCCCAAUUUUAUUUCUUAACUUUUCCCAUUUUAUUUCCAGUGAGACAUAUUUCUCCAUGGCAGGAACUUUGUUGUCCAGCUUCAAUGCUCCCAUUUGGAUUCAAGCUCGCAGACUGUGCGCUACGCUGUGUGCAGAGAUGCGCCCAUAGCUCUGGGGAAACAAUAUGGCACUGGCAGGUUGAAGGCAGAAAGCACAUCUGAAGCCGGAAGAAAUGCUGUCUGAACAAUUUGUUCAUCCAUUCAUUAAAAAAUGUAUCGAUCAUCUAUUAUAUGCCUGGUAGAGUAUGACACAAAGUGGGUAGAACACACAGGACAUGGUCUUCACCCUUAGGAAAUGUAAGUUCUUGCAGGGUAUUUUUUGAGGGGAAGGUAGCUUGCAUUUUUACACUAAAAAAAAUCAUUACCUCCUCAGCUGUUUGCUGCAGCAUCCCUUUGUAUAGGAUUUAGUA